AGUCUCUUGCUUAGGUGUAAAGUCACAUGUCCACUUAAGGACUCUCAUCGGACAACCAUCAAUAUACCAUGAAGGUUUAAGAAAAAGCCUGCUGUAAUCCUCCUCAUGUGUAAGGUGUAUAAGAAUGUGUGUUGUGUCAAUCAGUCCCACCUCGAAACAACCAUGGAACCCAAACUUAGAAAAAAUCUCACGUACCUUCCUCAUGAUUGGCUUGCGAUGUGGAAAUUUCCCCACAAGUGUAUACUUGUAAGGAUCAGCGAGUGUAGCCUCCUCGGACUCAGUCAAAACUAUUGCCGGCUCACCCAUAUGUAUAAAGGGUUCUUUAGCAGGAAACCCAGCAGUGGAAGAGUCAUCUAUACCCUGUACAACCGAUGCAAACGACUUCCGUGAACUCCGUUCAGCUUGAGACAGGCCCGGACGGCUAGAAACUGCAGUUGCAUAUGUCUUUCGGCCCUGAUUGAGCACUGUCUGGGCCUCAUGUGGAAAAACCGAUGAUGAAAAUGGAUUCAAAUUAACUGGAAGAACAUUCUGAUCAAAAGUUGCCGGAGGGCCGCCGGGACGCCGCCGGCCGGCCGCUAGCGGCUCCGUUUUCCGGCCAAAAUCAACCGGAGGCAGAAAUUUAUGAUUUUCAACAAUCUUGUGCGGAAUUUCAUGCUGAAUAACGCGGUCAGGCGCGUUUCCC
rnacentral:lncRNA from 1 species